rnacentral:rRNA from 1 species
AUGAACCUACUGCCUCACCACCACCUGUCGCUGCCGUCUGGGCCUGGCCGCCGCCCCUCUCCAGCGGCGGCGGAGGUGGAGAUGGACCCGCGCGUGUGGCGCCGGCUGCCGCAGCCGCUGCUGGACCGCGUGCUGGCGUGCCUCCCGACGCCGUCCUUCCUCCGCGCCCGCGCCGUCUGCCGCCGCUUCUACCACCUCCUCUUCUCCUCCCCGUUCCUCCACUCUCACCUCCUGCACUCCCCGCACCUCCCCUUCUUCGCCUUCGCCGUCCCCUCCGCCGGCCACCUCCUCCUCCUCGACCCCACCUCCCAGCCGCAGGGACCGUCCUGGUUCCUCCUCCCGCUCCCGAUCCCGGGCCCGGCCGCGGGGUUCUCGCCGGCUGCCGCUUCCGCUGGCCUGCUGGCGUUCCUCUCCGACGCGUCCGGGCACAAGACGCUGCUCCUCGCCAACCCAAUCACGCGCCUCCUCGCCGCGCUGCCGCUCGGCCCCACGCAGCGCCUCUCCCCCACCGUCGGCCUGGCCGCGGGCUCGACGUCCAUCAUCGCCGUCGUGGCUGGCGACGACCUCGUGUCCCCUUUCGCCGUCAAGAACAUCUCCGUCGACACCUUCGUCGCCGACGCCGCCUCCGUCCCGUCCUCCGGCUUCUGGGUCCCCAGCUCCCUCCUGCCACGCCUGUCCUCCCUCGACCCUCGCGCCGGCAUGGCCUUCGCCUCCGGAAGGUUCUACUGCAUGAGCUCGUCGCCGUUCGCGGUUCUCGUGUUCGACGUGGCGGCGAACGUCUGGAGCAAGGUGCAGCCGCCGAUGAGGCGGUUCCUGCGGUCGCCGGCGCUGGUGGAGCUCGGCGGCGGCAGAGAGGGCUCGGGCACCGCAAGGGUGGGGCUCGUCGCGUCCGUGGAGAAGAGCCGUCUCAGCGUGCCGAGGAGCGUGCGCGUCUGGACACUGCGCGGCAGAGGAGCCUCCGGCGGCGGUGGCGGCGCGUGGAGCGAGGUGGGGCGGAUGCCGCAGGACGUGCACACGCAGUUCGCGGCCGCGGAGGGCGGGCGAGGGUUCGAGUGCGCCGCUCACGGCGACUUCGUCGUGCUCGCGCCCCGCGGCGGGCCGGCAACCGUGCCGGUGCCGACGACCGUGCUCGUGUUCGACUCGCGCCGCGACGAGUGGCGGUGGGCGCCACCUUGCCCAUACGUCGGGCACGGCAUGGCCGCAGUGGCCAACGGCGGAGGCGCGGGCUUCCGGGUCCUCGCGUACGAGCCACGCCUGGCGACGCCGGCCAUCGGCCUCCUGGACGCCACGACGCCGGUGGCUUUGCAUGGGAUGCAUGGUUAG